rnacentral:rRNA from 1 species
GACAGAGGGUGCAAACGUUGUUCGGAAUUACUGGGCGUAAAGGGCGCGUAGGCGGCCCGCUAAGUCGAACGUGAAAUCCCCGGGCUUAACCCGGGAACUGCGUCCGAUACUGGCAGGCUUGAAUCCGGGAGAGGGAUGUGGAAUUCCAGGUGUAGCGGUGAAAUGCGCAGAUAUCUGGAGGAACACCGGUGGCGAAGGCGGCAUCCUGGACCGGUAUUGACGCUGAGGCGCGAAAGCUAGGGGAGCAAACGGG